GGGUUUUCUUAGGUAAACAGAACUAUCUAUCUGCUGAUCUGUGGUUCAGUUUAAAGUUAAACUGCUAUGAAACUCUUGACUCAGGUACAAAGGUUCACUGAGUAGCAAGAAACUCUGGGAUUUGUGUUGCAAGAAUAGUUGAACCAAACCAAAUAUACAAAUCUGAAAUCUAAUGGACAAGAUAUGUCACAAGAUUGCCAUCUCUCAAGGCCUUUACAAAUUACAUACACGCAA